CAAGACCUGUUUAGAGGAUAACAAUCCUACCAUUCAAUCACUUUUAUUCUUUCUACCAUAGACCAACUAAUAGAAUGACUAAAUAGUUUAUCUGCUUCUCACUUUUCAAAAAACUUUUGGUUUCAGAUGUCACUUUCCUUAAUAUAUUCAUUGCAGCAUCAUCUUGAUGUUUUGGAAUUCAUAUUCUUUGUCUGUCCCAUACAAAAGAAUGAGGAAUUAAUAAAAAUAGCUUAUUGAGUCUUAAGAUCUCUUUUCUUUUGUUUUGCUUUGACCAAAAUUUGAAAAGAAAUAAAAAAAAUUACAUAAAGAGUACUGCUGUUGAAUAUGUGACCUUUUAAGAGAAAAAAAAUGGAAGAUGGAGUAAGCACAGCAAAGAGAUGUAUGGAAUAAAAUAAAAUUGAAAAAAGAAAUGAAGAAGAUUAAAAUGAUAGAAUUAGAGGGCAACCUUCUUCCAUAUUUAUCUGACAAUAAGCCCCACGAAUAUGCUCCAACCAUCAUACCAACAAAAACCACAGUGGUUAUUAGGCUUUCUUGCUUAGAAGUAAGUCCCCAUGUAUGCUGAACUGCGGGUCCAACAUAUGAGAGAAUCAUCAUC
rnacentral:misc_RNA from 1 species